rnacentral:lncRNA from 1 species
GCCUUUCAUCUUGUGAACCUUUGGGAACAAAGAAAGGAUCUGAAGGACAUCUGAUUCCAUGCCAUCCAAAUCUGGUAGCUGCUCACUGUUGGUGCAGAUAUGAAGAUGUGGUGCUUGUACGCCUCGGGACAUCACACCUAUGCUACGUACUUCAGCUGCCCGGAAGCACUAAUUGUGCAGCUGGCUGAGAGCGUGCAAGAAUGGCAGCGCUAGCGGUGGAAGGGAGACCCAGAUCUCCCAAGUACCAGACCAGCAGCUCCUUCAAGGUGCACCCUUCUGCACAGUAUUUGCUCUGGUGGCUGUGUGGUGCUCAGCUCUUCUGUCCCUGAAGUAGAGCCUGGGCUGGGGCCAAUGCUGGCUGCAGCUGAUGGAGAAAGCCCCAGUGUUCUGGAGGUGAAGCAAGUGGCAGGGGAGUUGCAGAAGGAGAUGCUGGUAGGAAUUCCAACUCAGGGCCGUGUCCCAGGUCCAUACUGACUACCACUGUCAGUGACGUGACUGAUGACCUGCUAUCCUGGUUUGGAUAGCGCCUGGCAUCACGGAGACAUGAGCUGCAUCCAGUCCUCGUACAGCAAUGCACAUAAAUAACAGCGAUCUAAUGGCACAGCCACUUUGCUGUAUGGAGCUAAAUGGAUUGAAUGUAGUUAUCUGCCUGAUGUACUCCCUGGGCAUAAUGGAGUCUUCUGACCACGUCAAAAGGGGAAGAAAGGCAAGCCACUUGCAUUUUGUGCCUCUGUGGAUAAAGUGGAACAAGAUGAACCCAUUUAAUUUGCUACAUGAAAGCAGACUUGAAGCAUAUUGGUUGGUGUGUGUUGUGUUUUUUUUUUUCUAGAAGCCAGUGGCAUGGGUAUUCUUUCUGUGCUUGGCAAAUGCAUGUCACAGACAAGCGAUCCCACCAGAUAAUGUUGUCACUAGCACUUAAUGUCAAACGGGGCUCUUGUAAGUCAUCCUUGCGGCUUUGACUAAUGAAAUGCCGAGUGAACUGAUAAGUGUCCCUUUCACAGCCAGCCUGACAAAAUGUGGGAAAAGCUACAUCUGAGCAGAAGCCUGGCUUCUGUACCCUUCCAUCACUCCAGGAGAUGGGAUGGGAUUUGCUCUCUUAGCUCUAGCUGGAAACAAUGGGCACAUGAUGGGUUGAAGGUGCACUUACUCGUUUAUUUGGUAUUUCAGCAAGGCCCCAUUCAGAAUAUGAAAUUGUAAGUCUUUUUUCCUUUUAUUCCCAGAAAGGAUUUAAGUUUGAACUUAUUUUUGCUACAUAUUUGUGGGGCUUUGGGGUAUCAGACCCCAAGAACACUUUGUUCCAUGAGAUCUAGUGAUCUCAUCUCUCUGUACCCCUGCUCUCUUUCCCAUUCUUUGCAUGCCAUGUCUACACAGGCUUCAGGUGUUUCAGACCUUCAGUGGUUUGCUGAUCAAGUCUUUAUAGCCUUAUUUUCCAUAAUCAUUUUAGUAGUUGCUUUGAAACCUCUGUUCCAAGCUUAACCAGAUGUGAAUUACAAG